rnacentral:tRNA from 1 species
GCCCGNAUGAUCCCUAGUGGUCUGGGGUGCAGGCUNCANAACCUCUAGCUGUCUAGCGACAGAUGGUUCANAUUCCACCUUCCGGGCGCCA